GGGGAGUGCCUUUCGGGGAACUCCGAGACAGGUGCUGGCAUGGCUGUCGUCAGCUCGUGCCGUGAGGUGUUGGGUUAAGUCCCGCAACGAGCGCAACCCCUACACUUAGUUGCCAUCAGGUAAUGCUGGGCACUCUAAGAGGACUGCUCUGGUUAACAGAGAGGAAGGUGGGGACGACGUCAAGUCAUCAUGGCCCUUAUGCCUAGGGCUACACACGUACUACAAUGGCGCGCACAAAGGCYAGCAAGACCGCGAGGUGGAGCCAAUCCCAAAAAACGCGUCCCAGUCCGGAUUGCAGUCUGCAACUCGACUGCAUGAAGUUGGAAUCGCUAGUAAUUCUGGAUCAGCAUGCCAGGGUGAAUGCGUUCCCGGGCCUUGUACACACCGCCCGUCACACCACGAAAGUCGGUUUUACCCCAAGCCCGGUAGGCUAACUGCAAAGAGGCAUCCGUCU
rnacentral:rRNA from 1 species